CCUCCCUGCUGUCAGCAUGGGGUUUGGGGAAAAAUACAGGAUGAAGGAUAAAGAAAAGAAAAUGAAGGAGCUAACUAACUACGACAGGGAAAACAGGUAAAAUGACCAUGCUCAUCAUUCGUCGAGAGAAUUAAUUCUCCUCUCCUCACUAAAGGCAUAGGGCUUUGGAAAGGCACAGAUGGAGGAACUCUGGAUCAUCUGAAGAGAGAUUGGCAAGUCUGUGUUACUAAACUGGCAUCAUCCCAGGAAACUUGAGUAAUAGCAUAAUGAGUGGAAAAGGAAUGCACAGACAAGCAUGUUGCUGUCUUUCAUACAACAGCUACUGGAACAUUGCUGAGAAAAGCUGAUGAAGUGGACUGAGCCCCAGUGGAGUGAGCUAUUAUUCUUGGUGGAGGAGACAUUUUAGCAAGAUUGUAGCAGAGCUUAAUGCAGUCAGAAAUCCAGUGAGAUUUGCCAAGACAACGCUGAUUGACCCUGGGCAUAAAGACUUGGACAGGGAGAGAUCUAUCCUCUUUGGAGUGGACUUAGAGGGGAAAUCUGCUUCUCUGCUUAUGAGCGCAUACUCUGCUGCUGUGAGGAGCCCCUGGUGAAGGGUCCAUAGGCAUAUUCUCCAUUGCUACUGCAUCAGACUUCACGCCAGGAGGCAGACUCCUUGACGAGACUGGCUCAUAUAUAGGGGGUUUUCUUGACUUGAGUCUGACUGGGGCUUCGUAGCCUUUUCCAUGAGGAGUUUUUUAAGCCGGAAUUCUCGCACUUGUAGGAUCUAGCUAGGAAAGGAGCGAAAGAUACUGCAUCUGGAAGAUGGCAGGCACUUCCCCAAAGAAGUACAGGCAGCGCUGGUGGUUGUCACUGACCAGGAAGGUGCAAGUACAGGAGAUGCAGCUUUUAAAGCCAGAUAAUCUAGGCAUAAUCUAAUUUACAUACUGGGAUGCACAUGAGUCCCCAGGGAGGGGAUUUAACUAUCCAUUAGCUAUAUUAAUAGAACUAUUAAAAACAUUAACUAUACGAAAGAUAAAACUGGUAAACUUUUAAAUAGUUACAGGUUUUAAGGAUCAGGCUGAAGAGAAAGAAGCAGGUCUGGACACUGGCGAUUCACACUUAGGCCAUGUGGUGGUAAGAAGGAACUAAAGAGGUGAUCAGUCCUCCCCAUCCCUUAUAUACUUGGUGCAGAGCAUGAAGAGAGUAGGAGCACAGGCGCUGACCUAUGGACACUGCUUUCAAAAAUUCUCUAGUCUAAGGUGCAUGCACACUCACAAUAGAAUAUACAUAGGACCAGCACUCAAAGAAGAACUUGCUUUUCAGCCUUCCACUCCCAUCACAAUUGUGUGCACAAGAAAGCAGAGUAUAGCUGCUGUUCCUUUUCAGCCACAUUCAAUCAGUAGUUAUGUAUAUUUGCUCCCCUUUAUACCAUGCUACAGCACACAUAUUGUACAUUUAUGGGUGCACACACUAUAUAGUAAUUUAGCUCACCAACAAGAUGUUUUAGAGUUCUCCUUUCUUACCAAUCUA